UGAGGCGGAUGGAUGCGGGAAGGGUGUAACGCGCAGCCCUGUACAGGCAAAAACAAACUGCGGUGUGGUUUGCUAAUCUCUCAACUAUGCGAGCGUGGGGAAAUUUUUUCGCUCCCUGCCGCGCCUCCCCUUUCGUCGCGGGGGUUUGAAACACCGAAAUGGACGAGAUAUUUUACAAUUUGUCAAGAGAAUAAAGACUUCUCGACACGCGCGAUAAAUUAUUUAUUCACUUCUUGUACAACCUGCAGAGAUUUUCGCCCCGCCCAUAGAGUAAAAUGCACCCCUAACCUUCGAUCCUUGUACACCGUACACCUACUUACCCAUCUAAAUGACCAGACUAUCAUAACCAGCUUCUACUCAUGAUUUAUUUCUCAUUUGCACACGCCACACGGGGUGGCAUCCAGCCCUUAGCAACCGCCGUGGCAACGAGCUUCGUGCCCCCUUUAUCGCUUCUUCAACCCCGGCAGAGAGUUUUCAGUGCAACCGAAGCUUGCCUGCUGUGCUUGAUGGUUUCGACCGGGGGUCUGGGCGAGGGGGCGGGGGAUGGCGACUGGUACUGCCAAGAGACGAGACUGCUGUGGGAUAUUCCGCUGUCGGAAAGGCAGUGGAGGUCCCUUUCUUGUUCGGCGGCGAUUUCCCGCUCGAGCUGAACGAUCCCGGGCGGUUCCAGGGCGUACCUGGAGGCCAACCUCGCGACCUCCAGGAGGCAGAGAACGACGUUGCGCGGCUGUCCGUGGAGAACUGGAAUUGCAAUACACGGACGGUUUGUUUUGUUUAUCGAUUUUUGUUUGCUCGUUUUUUUCUUUCUUUUUACAGGGGUGCGGAGCGACUGCAGCGGCUGAGGGUGUGAGGAGGGUGAAGCGUGACGUGGACGGAAUUAUUCCGCGUUAUAUACCGAGGUCGUCGCUCUCGAAGAGGAGGUUCUCGUGCACCCCUAGACGCCGGCAGAAUUGGAUGAAAUUCUCCAUAUUGUCUCGCGAAAAGAAACUCCGCCUGGCCGCGUUCUCCCAGCAACGGCCUCUUAUCACUGGAACUGGCUGUCGGGGAAACGAAACGAAUGCUAUCGUGUCGGAGCUAAACGACUCGAUGGAUCCAAUUUCCAAGUUCCAAUUUUAAAAAGUUCCGACAGCGCCUGAUACCGAAUUAUUUGGUCGCGAAAUUUAAAGUAAAGAGUACAAAGUUGCACAAAACAACCAAGUUUCGAGGCGUCGGAAACCUGACGACUCAAAGUCCCGAAAUGCAAGAUUCCGAAAAUACAAGUUACGAUAGAGCAAAAUUCCGAAAAGUAAAAUUUCGACGCAGCGGAAUUUACUCAACGAUUGGGUGUAAGAAAUCAGAAAAGCCGAAAAUCGGAAUGACCAGGAUUUGGAACGUAAAAAUAUCGAAAAUCCAAAACAAAAAAAGAUCAAUGCGCUGAAAUUUCAUCAAGCCAAAAAUUGACAGAACUGAAAAUCUUCGAUCAUUCGGAAUUUCGAUGUUUCAAAUUCUUAAGGUUUCCGACUUUCCCACU
rnacentral:lncRNA from 1 species